rnacentral:rRNA from 1 species
CCAAUAGCGUAUAUUAAAGUUGUUGCAGUUAAAAAGCUCGUAGUUGAAUUUCGGGGUUAGUAAGUUGGUCAUGCCUUUGGUAUGUACUGGCUUUACUGAUUCCUCCUUCUUGACGAACUGUAAUGUCAUUAAUUUGGUGUUGCAAGGAAUCAGGACUGUUACUUUGAAAAAAUUAGAGUGUUUAAAGCAGGCUUAAGCUUGAAUACAUUAGCAUGGAAUAAUGAAAUAGGACGUUAAUCCUAUUUUGUUGGUUUCUAGGAUCAACGUAAUGAUUAAUAGGGAUAGUUGGGGGCAUUAGUAUUCAAUUGUCAGAGGUGAAAUUCUUGGAUUUAUUGAAGACUAACUACUGCGAAAGCAUUUGCCAAGGAUGUUUUCAUUAAUCAAGAACGAAAGUUAGGGGAUCGAAGACGAUCAGAUACCGUCGUAGUCUUAACCAUAAACUAUGCCGACUAGGGGUCGGAUGAUGUUAAUUUUUUAAACAAUUCA